rnacentral:rRNA from 1 species
UACGGAGGGUGCGAGCGUUGUCCGGAAUCACUGGGCGUAAAGGGCGCGUAGGCGGCCUGAUAAGUAGGGGGUGAAAUCCUGCGGCUUAACCGCAGGGCUGCCUUCUAAACUGUCAGGCUAGAGCACAGUAGAGGCAGGUGGAAUUCCCGGUGUAGCGGUGGAAUGCGUAGAGAUCGGGAAGAACACCCGUGGCGAAGGCGGUGUGCUGGGUUGCAAGUGAACGCUGAGAUGCGAAAGUGUGGG